rnacentral:rRNA from 1 species
UACGGGGGGUGCGAGCGUUGUCCGGAAUCACUGGGCGUAAAGCGCACGUAGGCGGAUCGUUAAGUCGGGGGUGAAAUCCUGGAGCUCAACUCCAGAACUGCCUUCGAUACUGGCGAUCUUGAGUCCGGAAGAGGUGAGUGGAACUCCUAGUGUAGAGGUGGAAUUCGUAGAUAUUAGGAAGAACACCAGUGGCGAAGGCGGCUCACUGGUCCGGUACUGACGCUGAGGUGCGAAAGCGUGGGGAGCAAACAGG